GACGAACGCUGGCGGCGUGCCUAACACAUGCAAGUCGAGCGAGUGAAUCUCCUUCGGGAGUGAAGCUAGCGGCGGACGGGUGAGUAACACGUGGGCAACCUGCCUCAUAGAGGGGAAUAGCCUUUCGAAAGGAAGAUUAAUACCGCAUAAGAUUGUAGCUUCGCAUGAAGUAGCAAUUAAAGGAGCAAUCCGCUAUGAGAUGGGCCCGCGGCGCAUUAGCUAGUUGGUGAGGUAACGGCUCACCAAGGCGACGAUGCGUAGCCGACCUGAGAGGGUGAUCGGCCACAUUGGGACUGAGACACGGCCCAGACUCCUACGGGAGGCAGCAGUGGGGAAUAUUGCACAAUGGGGGAAACCCUGAUGCAGCGACGCCGCGUGGAGGAAGAAGGUCUUCGGAUUGUAAACUCCUGUUGUUGAGGAAGAUAAUGACGGUACUCAACAAGGAAGUGACGGCUAACUACGUG
rnacentral:rRNA from 1 species